UUGGGAUAAGGGUUCAGUGGUAGUGUGUGCGCUUUCCAUGUGCAAGGCCCUGGGUUUGAUCCCCAGCACUGCAAA
rnacentral:tRNA from 1 species